UAUAAUUGAGGAAAUUAUAUUAUUAUAUAAUUUAAUAUAUGUGAAAUUAUAUGAAUUUUAUUAUGUUAAGACCCCGUUGGUGAGCCAGGGGCAUUUUAGUAAUUAUGACCCGAGAAGGGUAAAAUUAUGAAAUUAAUUUGAUUACGUGCUUAAUGGAACUAUAUUAUUAUAUAGUAUACCUGUGUUGUCUUUUCAGGUGUGUUCUGACAGGUUAGCGCGGUAUAGUCACAACCGGGAAUUUCGGGCCGAACCGGGUUCGGGCCCGAAAUGUAAAUUGGAUUGAUAAUUUGGCAUUUUAUUUGAUGAAUGAUAAUCUGAAAUUUAUUUGAAAUUAAUUGAGUAUUGAAAUGACUUAUUUACCCUUGUGAGGGUGUAGGUGUGAAUAAUAAGCCAUGAGGGCAUUUUGGUCAUUUGACCCCUAUUUACUAUGUUUGAUUAAAAUUGAUUUUUAAUGAAAUGAAAUGCAAAAUUCUGGUUUUACUUUCACUCUUGGCCGACCCCCUCUCUCUCCCAAACCCUCUUAUUAUUUCAAAGUUGAAUUUGAAGAAAAGCUUGGUUCUUAGCUUGUUUUGGAGCUUUGAAGUUGUGAAUUCUUGAGCUUGGAGUUGAGGAUUACCGGCACCUGGUCAGGAGCACCCGGGGAUUUGGAAUCUCUACUAUUGCGGGACAACAGGAAAGGGUAAGGCAUUAGCUGAUCAACCAUGAGUUUCAGGAGCAGGGCGAAGAAUGUACAUGUUCAUGCCACUUCAGACCAAGCGGGUUAUGGGUCUAACAAUGUUGACUUUUGUAUUCUGUUUUGCCGCUUAGGUCGGCUAGUAAGAAAGAACUUGUAAUAAGUUUGUAAAUAUUUUUGGGAUCCCAACUAUUUUGAAAAGUUUAAAUAUAUUACAAGUUUAUUUUCA